rnacentral:rRNA from 1 species
GAUGAACGCUGGCGGCGUGCCUAAUACAUGCAAGUCGAGCGAACAGACGAGGAGCUUGCUCCUCUGACGUUAGCGGCGGACGGGUGAGUAACACGUGGAUAACCUACCUAUAAGACUGGGAUAACUUCGGGAAACCGGAGCUAAUACCGGAUAAUAUAUUGAACCGCAUGGUUCAAUAGUGAAAGACGGUUUUGCUGUCACUUAUAGAUGGAUCCGCGCCGCAUUAGCUAGUUGGUAAGGUAACGGCUUACCAAGGCAACGAUGCGCAGCCGACCUGAGAGGGUGGUCGGCCACACUGGAACUGAGACACGGUCCAGACUCCUGCGGGAGGCAGCAGUAGGGAAUCUUCCGCAAUGGGCGAAAGCCUGACGGAGCAACGCCGCGUGAGUGAUGAAGGUCUUCGGAUCGUAAAACUCUGUUAUUAGGGAAGAACAAAUGUGUAAGUAACUAUGCACGUCUUGACGGUACCUAAUCAGAAAGCCACGGCUAACUACGUG